GGUACAAUUCUCCAGGCCAGGUCGAAUUCUGAGGGUGGUGGAUGUCCCCGGAAAGGACAUCGGGGCUACGAGGGAAAAGACAGGGAGCGGAGAGGAGGACCAUCUGCAAACUUGUAAGGGGAGCCGAGGCGAGGCCCACCCGGGCUGAGGGAGGCGGGACCCCAGACUCGCUGUCCCCAGCAUGAGGAAGGAGGGGUGCCGAGGACCUACGGCUGUGCGGGCUGGGCAUGAGUCCCGAGUGCCAACUGCGAAUAGGCACAGGGUGCAGCUGCAAAGGAGCCGAGCAAAGCUCCACGAGAGGGAAACAGACAUUGCAAAUCCCACAAGUAGUUAAGGACAGGUCAAUUCAGGGGAGAAGAGAAAUAGAGUGCUACAGGAGGUUUUGGGAAGCAAACCCACUGGGGCCUGGGCGAUGGCUUCCCCGGAACAUCUUCCCUGGAACAUCUUCCCUGUGCCCAAUUGGGCCAGAUGCCAAACUCCCUGAGCGCCUGGACCAAGUCUGGCCAGGAAUUCCUUAUCUGCCCUGCAGUUCCCAGCCCCGGAUGGGCCUCCAUGUGUGCUUCUUACCGAAGGAUGGACACCCAGGGCCCUCACCUCCAUCUGACGACCUUGGACAAGUCCUCCUAUGGCCUUCUCUCCAGGUGAGGAGUGGGUGAUCCAGGUCAUGUGUCUCUGCAGUGACAGAGCUGGAGCUGAAACUGGGGUCUGCUUCCAGGCCAUGUGCUAUCCUCGCAUUCAGCAGUGACAUCAGAUGACUUAUAAAGUUACAGUGCUCUCUGCCUCAGGAUGCAGGUAUGGGUUGGUGGAGCUUCUCAGCUCUUCUCAUAUCAUUCCAGCGGCAUCUAUGCUGUGAGCCCCGCUCUGCCCUGGCAGCCCCAGCUCCUG